rnacentral:lncRNA from 1 species
UCCCACAUAUGGCACAUACUGAAUCCCAAAAUCCAUGCUACAAUUAGUAUAAUGCCUUGUGUUUUUUUUAUGUUCUUUUAAUUGUGAAAAUAUGUACUUUACCUUAAUCACAACAACAUGGUCAGGGUGCUCUCCAGGCUCAUAAAGGAUGGCAUUGCUUGAAACCAUGUCAUCAACAACAUUACUUUUCGAGAUCUCCUUUGAACGGAAUGUUUGAGGGGCAGACAGAUUCAUUCCAUCAUUGUUACCCAAGUGGUUGUAGCUCACAAUUGAUGUUGGCUGUAAUUUUAACAAACACACGUUUAACCAAUAUUCAACUUUCCUCUAUCAAGAAUCCCAUCUUUUACAUAUCAAGUGCGCUAAUUUGAAGCACAAGUCAUACCUU